rnacentral:rRNA from 1 species
CCUACGGGAGGCAGCAGUGGGGAAUAUUGGUCAAUGGAGGAAACUCUGAACCAGCAACGCCGCGUGAAUGAUGAAGGUCUUCGGAUUGUAAACCUCUGUCAGAAGGGAAGAAAUUAUAUCAUGCUAAUCAGUGGUGUAUUGACGGUACCUUCAAAGGAAGCACCGGCUAACUCCGUGCCAGCAGCCGCGGUAAUACGGAGGGUGCGAGCGUUAAUCGGAAUUACUGGGCGUAAAGCGCACGUAGGCUGUAUGACAAGUCAAGGGUGAAAUGCCACGGCUCAACCGUGGAACUGCCUUUGAAACUGUCAAACUGGAGUAUGUGAGAGGGCGGCGGAAUUCCUGGUGUAGGAGUGAAAUCCGUAGAUAUCAGGAGGAACAUCAGUGGCGAAGGCGGCCGCCUGGCACAAAACUGACGCUGAGGUGCGAAAGCGUGGGUAGCAAACAGGAUUAGAUACCCGAGUAGUC